AGCUCCAAUAGCGUAUAUUAAAGUUGUUGCAGUUAAAAGCUCGUAGUUGGAUUUCUGGGUCAAGCUCCUGGUCCGCCGCCCUAGUUUGCGGUGCUGACUGUGUGCAGCGUUGGCUCAUCCUUGCGGGAAAGGCGGCUGCGUCGUUCAUUCGUCCGCCGUCGGCACCGCAUCGUUUACUGUGAAAAAUUAGAGUGUUCAAAGCAGGCUUACGCUGUGAAUACAUUAGCAUGGAAUAAUAAGAUAG
rnacentral:rRNA from 1 species